GACAGAGGAUGCAAGCGUUAUCCGGAAUGAUUGGGCGUAAAGCGUCUGUAGGUGGCUUUUUAAGUCCGCCGUCAAAUCCCAGGGCUCAACCCUGGACAGGCGGUGGAAACUACCAAGCUGGAGUACGGUAGGGGCAGAGGGAAUUUCCGGUGGAGCGGUGAAAUUCGUAGAUAUUCGGAAGAACACCAGUGGCGAAAGCGACUUCUGGUCCUUAACUGACGCUGAGGCGCGAAAGCAUGGGGAGCGAACGGG
rnacentral:rRNA from 1 species